UACGGAGGGAGCUAGCGUUGUUCGGAAUUACUGGGCGUAAAGCGCACGUAGGCGGCUUUGUAAGUUAGAGGUGAAAGCCCGGGGCUCAACCCCGGAAUUGCCUUUAAGACUGCAUCGCUUGAAUCCGGGAGAGGUGAGUGGAAUUCCGAGUGUAGAGGUGAAAUUCGUAGAUAUUCGGAAGAACACCAGUGGCGAAGGCGGCUCACUGGCCCGGUACUGACGCUGAGGUGCGAAAGCGUGGGGAGCAAACAGG
rnacentral:rRNA from 1 species